GACAUGAUGAUGAUGAUGAACACUGUAUCCGUUACCGGACUCCUGCUCACCCUGACUGUGAUAUCAACUCGUCCAUCGUCUCCUCCAUCCCUGCUCCUGCUCACUCCCUCUGGUUCUCCGCUCUCUGAGGGUGAUGUCAGUGUGGUGUGUGUGGCUCGAGGCUUUUACCCUGACAGUGUGACCAUAUCCUGGUCUGAGAACAGCAACAGCAUGACGGGUGAUGAGGUUCAGACGGGUCCGUAUCAGCGUCAGGCCGACGGCACGUUCUCCCAGACCAGCAUUCUGAAGAUCAGUCAGCAGCGCUGGAGCUCCGGGAGAACCUUCGCACGCUGUCUGAGUCACCCGGAGCUUUCCACAGCACUGAGUCAGAGCACCAGCCUGGACCAGUGCAUGUAGAGAGAUCACACAGUGCUGAAAUAUGAUACACAUCAA